UGUGUGUUAGUGGAAGCGUCUGGAAAGGCGCGCGAUACAGGGUGACAGCCCCGUACACAAAAAUGCACAUGCUGUGAGCUCGAUGAGUAGGGCGGGACACGUGGUAUCCUGUCUGAAUAUGGGGGGACCAUCCUCCAAGGCUAAAUACUCCUGACUGACCGAUAGUGAACCAGUACCGUGAGGGAAAGGCGAAAAGAACCCCGGCGAGGGGAGUGAAAAAGAACCUGAAACCGUGUACGUACAAGCAGUGGGAGCACGCUUAGGCGUGUGACUGCGUACCUUUUGUAUAAUGGGUCAGCGACUUAUAUUCUGUAGCAAGGUUAACCGAAUAGGGGAGCCGAAGGGAAACCGAGUCUUAACUGGGCGUUAAGUUGCAGGGUAUAGACCCGAAACCCGGUGAUCUAGCCAUGGGCAGGUUGAAGGUUGGGUAACACUAACUGGAGGACCGAACCGACUAAUGUUGAAAAAUUAGCGGAUGACUUGUGGCUGGGGGUGAAAGGCCAAUCAAACCGGGAGAUAGCUGGUUCUCCCCGAAAGCUAUUUAGGUAGCGCCUCGUGAAUUCAUCUCCGGGGGUAGAGCACUGUUUCGGCAAGGGGGUCAUCCCGACUUACCAACCCGAUGCAAACUGCGAAUACCGGAGAAUGUUAUCACGGGAGACACACGGCGGGUGCUAACGUCCGUCGUGAAGAGGGAAACAACCCAGACCGCCAGCUAAGGUCCCAAAGUCAUGGUUAAGUGGGAAACGAUGUGGGAAGGCCCAGACAGCCAGGAUGUUGGCUUAGAAGCAGCCAUCAUUUAAAGAAAGCGUAAUAGCUCACUGGUCGAGUCGGCCUGCGCGGAAGAUGUAACGGGGCUAAACCAUGCACCGAAGCUGCGGCAGCGACGCUUAUGCGUUGUUGGGUAGGGGAGCGUUCUGUAAGCCUGUGAAGGUGUGCUGUGAGGCAUGCUGGAGGUAUCAGAAGUGCGAAUGCUGACAUAAGUAACGAUAAAGCGGGUGAAAAGCCCGCUCGCCGGAAGACCAAGGGUUCCUGUCCAACGUUAAUCGGGGCAGGGUGAGUCGACCCCUAAGGCGAGGCCGAAAGGCGUAGUCGAUGGGAAACAGGUUAAUAUUCCUGUACUUGGUGUUACUGCGAAGGG
rnacentral:rRNA from 1 species